UCAUCCUGCAGGGCAAAGGGCAGUUAGCACUGGCCCCAGAUGGGAAUGGUGGUCUGUACCAGGCGGGGUGGACAAAAGGUGCUGGAGGACAUGAAGAAGAGAGGAGUGGAGUACCUGCAUGUGUACUGUGUAGACAACAUCCUGGUCAAAAUGGCUGACCCGUGUUUAUUGGGUUCUGUGUGAGCAAAGGAGCCGACUGUGGAGCCAAGGUGGUGGAGAAGGCGUACCCCGGCGAGCCAGGGGGCGUUGUUUGCAGGGUGCGAGGCGUC